ACUGGGCGUAAAGGGUGCGUAGGCGGUCUUUCAAGUCAGGAGUGAAAGGCUACGGCUCAACCGUAGUAAGCUCUUGAAACUGGGAGACUUGAGUGCAGGAGAGGAGAGUGGAAUUCCUAGUGUGGCGGUGAAAUGCGUAGAUAUUAGGAGGAACACCAGUUGCGAAGGCGGCUCUCUGGACUGUAACUGACGCUGAGGCACGAAAGCGUGGGGAGCAAACAGGAUUAGAUACCCUGGUAGUCCACGCUGUA
rnacentral:rRNA from 1 species